CUAAAAUACUCGAUAUCUUGAAAAAAAAAAUCGAUACCAAAAUUUACGAUCUUCGUAUCGUCCAUCUCUAUCUGUCAUAACUCAACGUGUUUUUCGGUUUUUCCUGUCUUUUCACAGCGACUUGUGAUGAGUGUAAAAAAAUCCUGCCUGGGCUCAAUACGACGUAAUUUUGCUGGUGUUAUUGGUAACUCUAGUGCGUGCCGUUUAACUACACGGAUAAAACCAGAUAUCGACAUCAUCAGUGGGUUACGCAGUCUUGCACAAUGUCAGAAUCGUUUCCAUCGGAUGUUCCAAAACAUGAUGAUAUCAGUAACAAUCAGAAUCUUGACAUAGAAUAUUUGGAUGCCGAUUCGCGAUUCAUUCCCUGGGCUGACAAUGAAAUUAUACAAUCGCUACAGUCGUUCAAAGUAUCAACGGAAGUUGUUCAGAAGUUCGUGGUCAACGAAUACAGUAUUAUGUAAUAUAGAGAAGCAUAAAUCUAAUGUAGCAAACAUAAACGUUUUGCACAACAGAUCAAACAUUACGGAAUAUUCACGUAUGUGCAAUUAUUACAAUGUCAAUAUAGAUAUGGAAG